AAUAAAUUUGAACGAAAGGGAAUACGGUUCCAAUUCCGUACCUGUUGAGUAUCCGUUUGUUAUUAAAUAUGGGCCUCGUGCUCAUCCUGGCAACAGGAACGACCAUAAAGAAGCCGUCGAGAGAUAUCGGAAGAGUUUUCUUUUCUGUUUUAUAGCCGUACUACCAUGGAAGUCUUUCGCAGAGAGAUAUGGUAGAUGGGCUAGAAGAGCAUGACAUAUACUGUUGUGUCGAUAUUUUCUCCUCGGACCUUGAAAAUUUAUGGUGGGGACACGCAAACUUCUCAACAGGCCGUACCAAUAUCCGCAGCUGGUCUCCAAGGUGAAGAGUCUCUAGUCGAUAGAAUAAUGUAGGUAAGGGAAGUCGGCAAAUUAGAUCCGUAACUUCGGGAUAAGGAUUGGCUCUGAAGAUUGAGAUAGUCGGGCUUGAUUGGGAAACAAUAACAUGGUUUAUGUGCUCGUUCUGGGUAAAUAGAGUUUCUAGCAUUUAUGUUAGUUACUUGUUCCCCGGAUAGUUUAGUUACGUAGCCAAUUGUGGAACUUUCUUGCUAAAAUUUUUAAGAAUACUAUUUGGGUUAAACCAAUUAGUUCUUAUCAAUUAUAACGAUUAUCAAUUAACAAUCAAUUCAGAACUGGCACGGACUUGGGGAAUCCGACUGUCUAAUUAAAACAAAGCAUUGUGAUGGCCCUAGCGGGUGUUGACACAAUGUGAUUUCUGCCCAGUGCUCUGAAUGUCAAAGUGAAGAAAUUCAAGUAAGCGCGGGUCAACGGCGGGAGUAACUAUGACUCUCUUAAGGUAGCCAAAUGCCUCGUCAUCUACUUAGUGACGCGCAUGAAUGGAUUAACGAGAUUCCUACUGUCCCUAUCUACUAUCUAGCGAAACCACAGCCAACGGAACGGGCUUGGAAUAAUUAGCGGGGAAAGAAGACCCUUUUGAGCUUGACUCUAAUCUGGCAGUGUAAGGAGACAUAAGAGGUGUAGAAUAAGUGGGAGAUAUUAGACCUCGGUUUGGUAUCGUCAAUGAAAUACCACUACUCUUAUUGUUUCCUUACUUACUUGAUUAAAUGGAACGUGUAUCAUUUCCUAGCCAUUAUACGGAUAUAUUUAUUAUAUCUUAUGGUAUUGGGUUUUGAUGCAAGCUUCUUGAUCAAAGUAUCACGAGUUUGUUAUAUAAUCGCAAACAAAUUCUUUAAUAAAACGAUGCAUUUAUGUAUUUUUGAUUUGAAAAUUUGGUAUAACUCCAAUUACUCAGGUAUGAUCCAAUUCAAGGACAUUGCCAGGUAGGGAGUUUGACUGGGGCGGUACAUCUCUCAAAUAAUAACGGAGGUGUCCCAAGGCCAGCUCAGUGCGGACAGAAACCACACAUAGAGCAAAAGGGCAAAUGCUGACUUGAUCUCGGUGUUCAGUACACACAGGGACAGCAAAAGCUCGGCCUAUCGAUCCUUUUGGUUUAAAGAGUUUUUAACAAGAGGUGUCAGAAAAGUUACCAUAGGGAUAACUGGCUUGUGGCGGCCAAGCGUUCAUAGCGACGUCGCUUUUUGAUCCUUCGAUGUCGGCUCUUCCUAUCAUUGUGAAGCAAAAUUCACCAAGCGUUGGAUUGUUCACCCAUGCAAGGGAACGUGAGCUGGGUUUAGACCGUCGUGAGACAGGUUAGUUUUACCCUACUAUGACAAAACGUUGUUGCGACAGCAUUCCUGCGUAGUACGAGAGGAACCGCAGGUACGGACCAAUGGCACAAUACUUGUUCGAGCGAACAGUGGUAUGACGCUACGUCCGUUGGAUUAUGCCUGAACGCCUCUAAGGUCGUAUCCGUGCUGGACUGCAAUGAUAAAUAAGGGGCAAUUUGCAUUGUAUGGCUUCUAAACCAUUUAAAGUUUAUAAUUUAUUUUAUAAACGACAAUGGAUGUGAUGCCAAUGUAAUUUGUAACAUAGUAAAUUAGGAGGAUCUUCGAUCACCUGAUGCCGCGCUAGUUACAUAUAAAAGCAUUAUUUAAUACAAUGACAAAGCCUAGAAUCAAUUGUAAACGACUUUUGUAACAGGCAAGGUGUUGUAAGUGGUUGAGCAGCUGCCAUACUGCGAUCCACUGAAGCUUAUCCUUUGCUUGAUGAUUCGA
rfam:Drosophila sechellia strain Rob3c scaffold_4523 genomic scaffold, whole genome shotgun sequence.